GUGUACGUACAAGCAGUGGGAGCACGCUUAGGCGUGUGACUGCGUACCUUUUGUAUAAUGGGUCAGCGACUUAUAUUCUGUAGCAAGGUUAACCGAAUAGGGGAGCCGAAGGGAAACCGAGUCUUAACUGGGCGUUAAGUUGCAGGGUAUAGACCCGAAACCCGGUGAUCUAGCCAUGGGCAGGUUGAAGGUUGGGUAACACUAACUGGAGGACCGAACCGACUAAUGUUGAAAAAUUAGCGGAUGACUUGUGGCUGGGGGUGAAAGGCCAAUCAAACCGGGAGAUAGCUGGUUCUCCCCGAAAGCUAUUUAGGUAGCGCCUCGUGAAUUCAUCUCCGGGGGUAGAGCACUGUUUCGGCAAGGGGGUCAUCCCGACUUACCAACCCGAUGCAAACUGCGAAUACCGGAGAAUGUUAUCACGGGAGACACACGGCGGGUGCUAACGUCCGUCGUGAAGAGGGAAACAACCCAGACCGCCAGCUAAGGUCCCAAAGUCAUGGUUAAGUGGGAAACGAUGUGGGAAGGCCCAGACAGCCAGGAUGUUGGCUUAGAAGCAGCCAUCAUUUAAAGAAAGCGUAAUAGCUCACUGGUCGAGUCGGCCUGCGCGGAAGAUGUAACGGGGCUAAACCAUGCACCGAAGCUGCGGCAGCGACGCUGAUGCGUUGUUGGGUAGGGGAGCGUUCUGUAAGCCUGCGAAGGUGUGCUGUGAGGCAUGCUGGAGGUAUCAGAAGUGCGAAUGCUGACAUAAGUAACGAUAAAGCGGGUGAAAAGCCCGCUCGCCGGAAGACCAAGGGUUCCUGUCCAACGUUAAUCGGGGCAGGGUGAGUCGACCCCUAAGGCGAGGCCGAAAGGCGUAGUCGAUGGGAAACAGGUUAAUAUUCCUGUACUUGGUGUUACUGCGAAGGGGGGACGGAGAAGGCUAUGUUGGCCGGGCGACGGUUGUCCCGGUUUAAGCGUGUAGGCUGGUUUUCCAGGCAAAUCCGGAAAAUCAAGGCUGAGGCGUGAUGACGAGGCACU
rnacentral:rRNA from 1 species